AUGUCUGGAGGCGUGGGCCCGACGGCGGGGGGCGGCAUCAUGCUGCCGUCGAUGGGGCAGCCGCCGCCGCCGCUGCACCCGGAGCCCACCUCGCCGACGGCGCGCCCGCACCACCACUACUACCUCUUUUCCAUCAAGCAGCUCAACACGUUGGGCGCGGCCGCCGUGCUGGCCUUCUCCACCACCGUGCCGCUCUCGGAGAUCGCCUUCGCCGUCCUGCUCCUCCCCUACCUCCUCUUCCUCGCGUCGUUCGCCUUCCCGCAGCGCCCCGGGAAGCCCAACCCGUCCGCGCCCGUCUUCCUCGGCCCCGCGCGCCUCCUCCUCGCCACGCACACCGUGGGCGGCUUCCUCGUCGGCGCCGCGCUCCCGGCGCUCUACAUCCUCGACGGCCUCCGCUCCGGGGACACCACGGGCAUCGCCGCCGCGGCCCCGCACGCGUUCCUGCUCUCCGCGCAGGUCUUCACCGAGGGGCUCACCGCCGCCUUCCCGUGGCGGUUCUCGCUCCCCGUCAGGGCCGCCGUCCCGGUGAUGUACAGCGUCCGCAGGAUGUUCGCGGCCGGGGAGUGGCUCCGGCAGGAGAUGGAGGAGAAGCGCGGCGGCCCCGGCGUGGCGGAGCGGCGCGUGGUGGCCGGGAGGGUGCUCGCGCUGGCCAACAUGGCCUUCUGGGGCGCCAACCUCUUCGCCUUCCUCCUGCCCUUCUACCUGCCCAGGGCCCUCCAGAGGUACUACUGCGACGACGGCGUCGACCGCACCAACGGCGAUGGCCACGCCCACGAAGAUAAGAAGGAUUCCUAG
rnacentral:rRNA from 1 species